UGAUCGAAUGGUUAGCAUCAUUGCCGACUGGGAGAACUAAAUAGAAGUAAUUCUUUUGUGCCAUCCGAUAGUCCAGAGUAAAUCUAAGGCUUGAUCCAACGGCUCAUGUUGAUUUUGAUUUUGAUAAGGAGCUAGGCUAUGGUUUUAUGGCAUGAUCUCAUGUGUUUGAUCUACAUCCGAUGGCCAAAAACCUAUUUCACCUGGGACACACAUUUGGGAUGUGAAACAAGAGCUCUAAUGUGACCAGAAGUCCUAUUACGCAAGAAAAAUCAUGAGUAACCUAGAGAUCUAAUAGUAGGAGGCUAGAACAGCUAUAAAAAGGGACUCAGGGAGAAUAGAAAAAGCAUCCA
rnacentral:lncRNA from 1 species